GCGUGCGAUCAUACCAAUGUUAAUGCACCGUAUCCCAUCAGAACUCCGCAGUUAAGCACGCUCGGGCUAGAGUAGUACUGGGAUGGUUGACCUCCCGGGAAGUCCGCGGCCACCGACGGCG
rnacentral:rRNA from 1 species